UACGUAGGGGGCAAGCGUUGUCCGGAAUCAUUGGGCGUAAAGCGCGCGCAGGCGGGCGUGUAAGUCAGAAGUGAAAUUCCGGGGCUCAACCCCGGAGCUGCUCCUGAUACUGCACGUCUGGAGACCGGUAGAGGCUGGUGGAAUUCCCGGUGUAGCGGUGGAAUGCGUAGAGAUCGGGAAGAACACCCGUGGCGAAGGCGGCCAGCUGGGCCGGUUCUGACGCUGAGGCGCGAAAGCGUGGGGAGCAAACAGG
rnacentral:rRNA from 1 species